AACGAACGCUGGCGGCAGGCCUUAUACAUGCAAGUCGAACGAGACUGUUACUUCGGUAACAUGAGGGUGGCGCACGGGUGAGUAACGCGUAGAGAUCUACCAAGCAGUGGGGGACAACUAUUGGAAACGAUAGCUAAAACCGCAUACGCCCUUAGGGGGAAAUAUUUAUAGCUGUUUGAUGAGUCUGCGUUAGAUUAGCUAGUUGGUAGGGUAAAAGCCUACCAAGGCGACGAUGGGUAGCCGGCCUGAGAGGGUGAACGGCCACAAGGGGACUGAGACACGGCCCUU
rnacentral:rRNA from 1 species